rnacentral:tRNA from 1 species
AAAGAAGUAAGCUAAUUUAAGCUAUUAGGUUCAUACCCUAUUUAUGAAAGUUAAUCUUUCCUUCUUUA